rnacentral:tRNA from 1 species
GACCGCGUAGCUCAGUUGGAAGAGCAUUGGGCUGGUAUUCCAAAGGUCGUAGGUUCGAAUCCCAUCGUGGCCG